CCUACGGGUGACAGCAGUCGAGAAUCAUUCACAAUGGGGGAAACCCUGAUGGUGCGACGCCGCGUGGGGGAAUGAAGGUCUUCGGAUUGUAAACCCCUGUCAUGUGGGAGCAAAUUAAAAAGAUAGUACCACAAGAGGAAGAGACGGCUAACUCUGUGCCAGCAGCCGCGGUAAUACAGAGGGCUCAAGCGUUGUUCGGAAUCACUGGGCGUAAAGCGUGCGUAGGCUGUUUCGUAAGUCGUGUGUGAAAGGCGCGGGCUCAACCCGCGGACGGCACAUGAUACUGCGAGACUAGAGUGAUGGAGGGGGAACCGGAAUUCUCGGUGUAGCAGUGAAAUGCGUAGAUAUCGAGAGGAACACUCGUGGCGAAGGCGGGUUCCUGGACAUUAACUGACGCUGAGGCACGAAGGCCAGGGGAGCGAAAGGGAUUAGAUACCCGGGUAGUC
rnacentral:rRNA from 1 species